CCUACGGGCGGCUGCAGUGGGGAAUAUUGCACAAUGGGCGCAAGCCUGAUGCAGCCAUGCCGCGUGUGUGAAGAAGGCCUUCGGGUUGUAAAGCACUUUCAGCGGGGAGGAAGGCGUUAAGGUUAAUAACCUUGGCGAUUGACGUUACCCGCAGAAGAAGCACCGGCUAACUCCGUGCCAGCAGCCGCGGUAAUACGGAGGGUGCAAGCGUUAAUCGGAAUUACUGGGCGUAAAGCGCACGCAGGCGGUCUGUCAAGUCGGAUGUGAAAUCCCCGGGCUCAACCUGGGAACUGCAUUCGAAACUGGCAGGCUAGAGUCUUGUAGAGGGGGGUAGAAUUCCAGGUGUAGCGGUGAAAUGCGUAGAGAUCUGGAGGAAUACCGGUGGCGAAGGCGGCCCCCUGGACAAAGACUGACGCUCAGGUGCGAAAGCGUGGGGAGCAAACGGGAUUAGAUACCCCAGUAGUC
rnacentral:rRNA from 1 species